rnacentral:rRNA from 1 species
CCUACGGGUGACAGCAGUGGGGAAUAUUGCGCAAUGGGCGAAAGCCUGACGCAGCGACGCCGCGUGAGGGAUGAAGGUCUUCGGAUCGUAAACCUCUGUCAGCAGGGAAGAACGGUCACUGUGCUAAUCAGCAGUGAAUUGACGGUACCUGCAAAGGAAGCACCGGCUAACUCCGUGCCAGCAGCGGCGGUAAUACGGAGGGUGCGAGCGUUAAUCGGAAUUACUGGGCGUAAAGCGCUCGUAGGCGGUAUGUCAAGUCAAGGGUGAAAUCCCCGCGCUCAACGUGGGAACUGCCUUUGAAACGGGCAAACUGGAGUGGGUGAGAGGAUAGUGGAAUUCCAGGUGUAGGAGUGAAAUCCGUAGAUAUCUGGAGGAACAUCAGUGGCGAAGGCGACUAUCUGGAACAUAACUGACGCUGAGGAGCGAAAGCGUGGGGAGCAAACAGGAUUAGAUACCCUAGUAGUC